rnacentral:rRNA from 1 species
CCUACGGGGGGCUGCAGUGGGGAAUAUUGGACAAUGGGGGCAACCCUGAUCCAGCCAUGCCGCGUGUGUGAAGAAGGCCCUCGGGUUGUAAAGCACUUUCAGUGAGGAAGAACGCCUGGUGGUUAAUACCCAUCAGGAAAGACAUCACUCACAGAAGAAGCACCGGCUAACUCCGUGCCAGCAGCCGCGGUAAUACGGAGGGUGCGAGCGUUAAUCGGAAUUACUGGGCGUAAAGCGCGCGUAGGUGGCUUGAUAAGCCGGUUGUGAAAGCCCCGGGCUCAACCUGGGAACGGCAUCCGGAACUGUCAAGCUAGAGUGCAGGAGAGGAAGGUAGAAUUCCCGGUGUAGCGGUGAAAUGCGUAGAGAUCGGGAGGAAUACCAGUGGCGAAGGCGACCUUCUGGACUGACACUGACACUGAGGUGCGAAAGCGUGGGUAGCAAACAGGAUUAGAUACCCCUGUAGUC